CCCUUAGAUGUUCUGGGCCGCACGCGUGCUACACUGAGUAAUUCAAUGGGUAAGGGAACGCUAGAGCAUUACCUAAUCUUGAAAUUUGCUCGUGAUGGGGCUCGACGGUUGCAAUUUUCCGUCGUGAACGAGGAAUACCUUGUAGGCGCAUGUCAUCAUCAUGCGCCGAAUACGUCCCUGCCCUUUGUACACACCGCCCGUCGCUCCUACCGAUUGAGUGAUCCGGUGAGGCUCUGGGACCUGGACGGAAAGAGCGUUUCGCUUGUUCUGUUUGGGAAACUUGGUCGAACCUUAUCAUUUAGAGGAAGGAGAAGUCGUAACA
rnacentral:rRNA from 1 species